rnacentral:tRNA from 1 species
UCAGAAUAAUUUGAUUUGCACAAAUGUCUUCUCAGUGUAAGGGAGAUGCUUUUCUCAUUGAGCUAUAUUCUG